UACAGAGGUCUCAAGCGUUGUUCGGAUUCAUUGGGCGUAAAGAGCGCGCAGGCGGUCGUUCAAGUCGAGUGUGAAAGCCCCCGGCUCAACUGGGGAGGGUCACUUGAUACUGAUCGACUCGAAGGCAGGAGAGGGAAGCGGAAUUCCCGGUGUAGUGGUGAAAUGCGUAGAUAUCGGGAGGAACACCAGUGGCGAAGGCGGCUUCCUGGCCUGUUCUUGACGCUGAGGCGCGAAAGCUAGGGGAGCAAACGGG
rnacentral:rRNA from 1 species